AUCGAACGCUGGCGGCAGGCCUAACACAUGCAAGUCGAACGAGUGGCGGACGGGUGAGCAAUGUCUGGGAAACUGCCCGAUGGAGGGGGAUAACUACUGGAAACGGUAGCUAAUACCGCAUACCAUCGGAUGUGCCCAGAGGGGAUUAGCUAGUAGGUGGGGUAAUGGCUCACCUAGGCGACGAUCCCUAGCUGGUCUGAGAGGAUGACCAGCCACACUGGAACGUAGACACGGUCCAGACUCCUACGUGAGGCAGCGGUGGGGGAUAUUGCACAAUGGGCGCAAGCCUGAUGCAGCCAUGCCGCGUGUAUGAAGAAGGCCUUCGGGUUGUAAAGUACUUUCGGCGGGGAGGCGUUACCCGCAGAAGAAGCACCGGCUAACUCCGUGCCAGCAGCCGCGGUAAUUC
rnacentral:rRNA from 1 species